rnacentral:rRNA from 1 species
CUACAAGCGGUCGGAGCAUAGCAAUAUGUGACUGCGUGCCUUUUGCAUAAUGAACCUACGAGUUACCUUCCCCGGCAAGGUUAAGUACCUAAGGUACGGAGCCGAAGCGAAAGCGAGUCUGAAGAGGGCGGCCAGUCGGGGGGGGUAGACGCGAAACCGAGUGAUCUACCCUUGGCCAGGUUGAAGGUUGGGUAACACCAACUGGAGGACCGGAUGGGUAAGCGUUGAAAAGCUUUCCAAUGAGCUGAGGGUAGGGGUGAAAGGCUAAUCAAACUCGGAGAUAGCUCGUACUCCCCGAAAUGCAUUUAGGUGCAGCCUCUUUAUAGUAUAUCGUGAGGUAGAGCGACUGAUUGGAUGCGAGGGCUUCACCGCCUAUCAAGUCCAGAUAAACUCCGAAUGCGCGAUAUAUAUUUAAAGGGAGUGAGGGCGCGGGUGCUAAGGUCCGUGUCCGAGAGGAGAAGAAUCCAGACCACCGGCUAAGGCCCCCAAAUGAUCGUUGAGUUGAACUAACGAGGUCGGAUCGCAGAGACAGCUAGGAUGUUGGCUUGGAAGCAGCCAUUCAUUUAAAGAGUGCGUAACAGCUCACUAGUCGAGCGAUCUGGCGUGGAUAAUAAUCGGGCAUAAACGAUCUGCCGAAGCCGUGGAUGUCGUAAGACAUGGUAGGGGAGCAUUCCAUGCGGCGUCGAAGAUGAGGGAUGACCCUUGUUGGAGCGCAUGGAAAAGCAAAUGUAGGUAUGAGUAACGAUAAGGGGGGCGAGAAACCCCCCCGCCGAAAGACCAAGGUUUCCUGAUCAACGCUAAUCGGAUCAGGGUGAGUCGGGACCUAAGGCAAAGCCGAACGGCGACGCCGAUGGAAGAAUGGGUUAAUAUUCCCAUACUGCCUCAUGGAGUGACGUGGAGACGGAGAAGUGACAGUCCUGCCGGCUGACGGAAUAGCCGGUUGAAGGGUGUAGAUAUUGAUUCCCGUAGGCAAAUCCGCGGGGAGAGUCGAACCUGACAGUAUACCGAGUACUUGUACGAGGUAAUAUGGACGUAACCAUGCUCCCAAGAAAAUCCGCUAAACUUAUCCAUGCGGCACCCGUACCGUAAACGGACACACGUGGUCGGGUUGAGAAUACUGAGGCGCUCGAGUGAUUCACGGUUAAGGAACUAGGCAAAUUGACCCUGUAACUUCGGGAUAAAGGGUCCUCGUCGUAAGGCGAGGCGCAGAGAAUAGGUCCAGGCAACUGUUUAACAAAAACACAUGGCUAUGCUAAAUGGAAACAUGACGUAUAUAGCCUGACACCUGCCCGGUGCUGGAAGGUUAAGAGGAGAUGUCAUCGCAAGAGAAGCGUUGAAUUGAAGCCCCAGUAAACGGCGGCCGUAACUAUAACGGUCCUAAGGUAGCGAAAUUCCUUGUC